rnacentral:rRNA from 1 species
CGGUUAAAAAGCUCGUAGUUGGAUUUCUGUUGAGGUUGGGUGGUCCCUUCUCCGAAGGCGUAUUUGCUUCGAUCUCGGCAUCCUUCUGAAAGACUGUGCUGCCCCUCAUUGAGUGGUCAGGAUUUCAGGACUUUUACUUUGAGGAAAUUAGAGUGUUUACGGCAGGCAGGCGCCUUGAAUAUAUUAGCAUGGAAUAAUGAUAUAAGACCUUGGUUUUAUUUUGUUGGUUUCUAAAGCUAAGGUAAUGAUUAACAGGGAUAUUUGGGGGUAUUUGUAUUACACGGUCAGAGGUGGAAUUCUUGGAUUCGUGUACGACAAACUACUGCGAAAGCAUUUACCAAGGAUGUUUUCAUUGAUCAAGAACGAAAGUGUGGGGAUCGAAGAUGAUUAGAUACCGUCGUAGUCUACACCAUAAACUAUGCCGACUA